rnacentral:rRNA from 1 species
UGCCAGCCGCCGCGGUAAUACGGAGGGGGCGAGCGUUAUUCGGAAUUACUGGGCGUAAAGGGUGCGUAGGCGGCCCAUCAAGUUAGACGUGAAAGCCCCGGGCUCAACCUGGGAACUGCACUCGAUACUGCAUAACUAGAGUAUGGUAGAGGGAAGUGGAAUUUCCGGUGUAGCGGUGAAAUGCGUAGAUAUCGGAAGGAACACCAGUGGCGAAGGCGGCUCUCUGGACCAACACUGACGCUGAGGUGCGAAAGCGUGGGUAGCAAACAGGAUUAGAUA